rnacentral:rRNA from 1 species
CCGUAGCGAGCGCAACCCUUGUCCUUAGUUGCCAGCACGUUAUGGUGGACACUCUAAGGAGACUGCCGGUGACAAGCCGGAGGAAGGUGGGGAUGACGUCAAGUCAUCAUGGCCCUUACGGCCAGGGCUACACACGUGGUACAAUGGUCGGUACAAAGGGUUGCCAAGCCGCGAGGUGGAGCUAAUCCCAUAAAACCGAUCGUAGUCCGGAUCGCAGUCUGCAACUCGACUGCGGGAAGUCGGAAUCGCUAGUAAUCGUGAAUCAGAACGUCACGGUGAAUACGUUCCCGGGCCUUGUACACACCGCCCGUCACACCAUGGGAGUGGGUUGCUCCAGAAGUAGCUAGUCUAACCCUCGGGAGGACGGUUACCACGGAGUGAUUCAUGACUGGGGUGAGGUCGUAACAAGGUAGCCGUAGGGGAACCUGCGGCUGGAUCACCUCAA